UCAAAAAAAAAAAAAAAAGGCAAUACAAAUUCACUUGGGAUUUAUCUGGUAUGAAGACUGACCGAUCAACCUGUUAAAAGAAAAAAUAAUAUGAAAGGACCAUCAGUAAAAUCAAAAUCCAAAUCACUGGAAUGAAUCAUGUAUGUUUCUCAAUCCAAAAAUACCAUAUUUUCUGCAUUUGCUAGUGAAAUUAGAAAGAAAUAAAACAAAACAAACUUAAUCAUGACGACUAGAAACAAGAAAUGAAUCCUACGAACAUUUUGUGAAAUCCGACCUAACCCAUUUCAAGUUUGACCACAUGAAAAAGCGUAACGGUUAAUUUUGGGGAAAAAAAAAAAAUCAAAACCAUCAAAAUUAAGAAAGCAAACUAUGGAUGCCUAGUGCCCAACUGUUGGGAAAAACAAGCGUCCAUCCAUUACGUAUUGCGUAAAACACAUAAUAGAAGUAUUAUAGUUAGGCAAGUUGCAAGCUUGUCUUUGAGACUUAGAUCCAUGUUCCUAGUCAAAAACCGCAGACUAAAAUUUAAUAAUACAAUCUUAAAAGUGUUACCAAUUACUCAAGCAAUAAUAAUUAUUAUAAUAAUAAACGUUACUAACUUCCUACAACUGAAUCUAGUAAAUGGAUAGCCAAGCGAAAUGAAAAGGAUUGAUCCAAUUGAAACAAAGAAUGGCAAGGCAUGGGAAAGCAAUACUUAUACAAUUGGUAAACUAUGUGGACGGAUUAACUAAUCGAAUUGAAGUAAAAUUAACCAACGAAAUGACAACAACGUAAGCAACUUAAAUGGCCCAAAACUAGCAGAUCUGGAGCAAAGCUACUACCUUGCAUUGUUAACCCAUAAAUAACUAAUACAAUAGACUCGUUUAUCAAGCAAUAAUGAGAAUACAAGCAAAUUGAUGCAUCCAAACCUAAUAAAAACCCGAUGAACCGAUGUGGCAUUCCAAUCAGAUCCAGCCAAAAAAGCACAUCUUUAAGCAAAACCCACAAAUAAAUCACCCAG
rnacentral:misc_RNA from 1 species